GCAUCCGCCUCCGCCUCCCCCAAGGGGGGCCCCGCAGCCUCCGCUGCGGCGGCGGCUUCGGCCGCGCUGCCCUCCGCCACCGCCACCACCGUUGCCACCCGGGCGGCCUCCGCCUCCCCCGGGGUGGCCUCCGAUGCUGCCUCCUCUAUUGAGGCCUCGGCCUCCACCUCAGCCUCUACCUCUGCUUCCGCCUCCGCCACGGAGGCCUCCGCCACCGCCUCUGCCACGGUCGCCGCCGCAGCCUCCGCCGCCGCCGCAGCCGCUGCCGCCACCGCCGCCGCCACUGUCGCUGCUGUCGCCACGAGAACAGAAGUGUCAGCAGAGGACUGUAAGUGCUAUGUGAUUGGACGACGGUGGCCAUAGAAUUUCACCUGCCCAGCACGUAUUCUCUCAUCCUCUCCUCCUCUGCCUUCUUUGGGAGGGAGAAAUCAGAAGGAGUGGGGAUGCAGUUCAGAGAGCAGAGGAGAAGAGAAGAAAAGAAGGAAGAAGGAAGAGGACUAGGGUUGGGUGGGGGGGGAGGACACCAAUGGGAAGAGGGACAGAUCAACUCUAUACACAAAAGUAAAUCAAAACACCAAAAACAGGGGUCUAUGUAAAGAAGCCUCUUCCCGUGAAUUGCUCGUUGCAUAGCUGCAGGGAGGGUGUUUAGGGGCAUAGAGAAUGAAAACAUACCUGUAUUUUGGUGUAGGGAAAUUGUUUCUGUCAAUUCACACCGUCCACACACCACCUCCCACCCCAACCCCGCCACUACCAAAUUCCUCUAAAUAAAAAUAAUUAUGAGAUACAGGCCAACAAAAACGUCAGCGUUAGGCUGUUAUUUAGAGAGAAUUGGAAAGCGUUUGAAUGUGGCCCUGUUGUUUAAUAAACGAUAACAAUG
rnacentral:lncRNA from 1 species